rnacentral:rRNA from 1 species
AUUGAACGCUGGCGGCAGGCCUAACACAUGCAAGUCGAGCGGAUGAAGGGAGCUUGCUCCUGGAUUCAGCGGCGGACGGGUGAGUAAUGCCCAGGAAUCUGCCUGGCAGUGGGGGAUAACGUCCGGAAACGGGCGCUAAUACCGCAUACGUUCUGAGGGUGAAAGUGGGGGAUCUUUGGACCUCACGCUAUUUGAUGAGACUAGGUCGGAUUAGCUAGUUGGUGGGGUAAAGGCCUACCAAGGCGACGAUCCGUAACUGGUCUGAGAGGAUGAUCAGUCACACUGGAACUGAGACACGGUCCAGACUCCUACGGGAGGCAGCAGUGGGGAAUAUUGGACAAUGGGCGAAAGCCUGAUCCAGCCAUGCCGCGUGUGUGAAGAAGGUCUUCGGAUUGUAAAGCACUUUAAGUUGGGAGGAAGGGCAGUAAGUUAAUACCUUGCUGUUUUGACGUUACCAACAGAAUAAGCACCGGCUAACUUCGUG